rnacentral:rRNA from 1 species
GAGUUUGAUCCUGGCUCAGAUUGAACGCUGGCGGCAUGCCUUACACAUGCAAGUCGAACGGUAACAGGUCUUCGGAUGCUGACGAGUGGCGAACGGGUGAGUAAUACAUCGGAACGUGCCCGAUCGUGGGGGAUAACGCAGCGAAAGCUGUGCUAAUACCGCAUACGAUCUACGGAUGAAAGCGGGGGAUCGCAAGACCUCGCGCGGACGGAGCGGCCGAUGGCAGAUUAGGUAGUUGGUGGGGUAAAGGCUCACCAAGCCUUCGAUCUGUAGCUGGUCUGAGAGGACGACCAGCCACACUGGGACUGAGACACGGCCCANACUCCUACGGGAGGCAGCAGUGGGGAAUUUUGGACAAUGGGCGCAAGCCUGAUCCAGCCAUGCCGCGUGCAGGAUGAAGGCCUUCGGGUUGUAAACUGCUUUUGUACGGAACGAAAAGACUCGUUUUAAUACGAUGGGUCCAUGACGGUACCGUAAGAAUAAGCACCGGCUAACUACGUGCCAGCAGCCGCGGUAAUAC